rnacentral:rRNA from 1 species
UGGGGAAUAUUGGACAAUGGGCGCAAGCCUGAUCCAGCCAUGCCGCGUGAGUGAUGAAGGCCCUAGGGUUGUAAAGCUCUUUCACCGGUGAAGAUAAUGACGGUAACCGGAGAAGAAGCCCCGGCUAACUUCGUGCCAGCAGCGGCGGUAAUACGAAGGGGGCUAGCGUUGUUCGGAUUUACUGGGCGUAAAGCGCACGUAGGCGGACUUUUAAGUCAGGGGUGAAAUCCCGGGGCUCAACCCCGGAACUGCCUUUGAUACUGGAAGUCUUGAGUAUGGUAGAGGUGAGUGGAAUUCCGAGUGUAGAGGUGAAAUUCGUAGAUAUUCGGAGGAACACCAGUGGCGAAGGCGGCUCACUGGACCAUUACUGACGCUGAGGUGCGAAAGCGUGGGGAGCAAACAGG